rnacentral:rRNA from 1 species
AUGCUCAAAAAAAAUAGCUUGUUGGUGGGUUUGGCACCUGAUCUUAUUCCCAACGGGGUUGCGGUGCUUCAAUAUGCUGACGAUACUAUUAUCUGCUUGGAUCAUGAUGUUGAUAGAGCAGUUAACCUGAAGUUGCUGCUAUACAUAUUUGAGCUGAUGUUUGGGCUUAAAGUUAAUUACCAAAAGAGCGAGAUUUUCACUGUGGGUGGUGACGGGAGCAUUGUGAAACACUAUGUUUAUUUGUUUAAUUGUGAUGUGGGUAGUUUUCCUAUUAAGUAUCUUGGCAUGCUUGUCAGCUAUACUACUCUCAGAGAUUCAGACUGGGAGUUUAUAGUGGCUAAGUAUCUCAAAAGAUUUGAGGUGUGGAUUGGAAAUGCCGCGUCCAUGGGGGGAGGCUUACCUUGCUGGAUUCGGUUGUUACCCAAAUAUCUUUAUGUCUAUGUGGCUUAUGAGUAA